AUGCGGUGGCCGGCCACCUGGGCCGCUGCGGAGUUGGACGGCGGGGGCAGGAAGGCGGAGCCUCCGCCGCGGGGCCCUCUAUUGAUGAAAGGGCGGGGCGGCGCUCGGGGCCCAUUGGCCGGCGCCUUGCCCAGGGGACGAAGCCCGUCCGCCGGGCGGGGUUUGGGCUGUCCCCGAGCUCGGUGCCCCGACGGCUGGGGCAGCAGCACUGCCGAGUCCCGACCCCUGGGCUCAGUGGUGGUGGUUAGCCGCGGUGGGGGGUCUUCGAUGGGGCAGGCGUGGGAGGGCUGGAAGGCCGAGCCGAGGCCUCUGGGUUCCGUGCUGAUAGUCGGGCGGAGCCCGGGUCUAUCACCACCUCCGCGGAGACCGGUCGGCCGAGCUCCAGCCCUGGAGCCGUGGUCUUCGUUGCGGAACCUCCGGAACAACGGACAGAGGGCCGACCCCUGGCACCGGAGGCACGCUUCUGGCGGCGCUCCGGGUCCUCGAGGAGAGGGCUGGGGGGCGGGCGCUCGGCCCAGCGGAACCUUCUUAAAGGGAAGACCCAGCCCAAAUCUUGGGGACCGCCUGUGGCGGGAGGGCGACGGCUGGGGGGCAGGAGAGCGUCCCAGCAGCCCAUUCUUGGUUCGAAGACUCCGGCUCGGGACUUCCCCGGACCGUCCAGGGUAUGAGGGCGGAGCCUCUUCCCCUCGGUUGCGAGAUGGCCGAAGGGCGGAACCUGCCCGCCUUGACUGCCUAUUGGGCGGGAGACCCAGGACCGUCCCCUCCACUCACCAUUGGUCAGAAGGAGCAGCCUCGCCCCCUCAGCGGCAGAGGGGACCUGCCUCCUUCAGACCCCAGCCGGAGGCGAGGGGCCGAGACUUUUCCGUUGAGCUCCAACUCAUUCAAUCACGGUAGCCCCUACGCCUCGGCUCGUAUCCGCUGGGAGAGUGGGGGUCGCAAGGUGGAGCCUCCAACGUCCAGCUCCUUUUGGCCUAGCAGCUCCAGUCCCCGCCCGUCGGCUCCCUAUUGCUGGGAAGAUGAGGCCCCACCCCUAAACUGGAAGGCGGGGCCUCCCUCUCCGCGCUCCUCCUCCUGGGCUGGGAAUCCCAGGUCCCGUUCCUCGAGGCUCCGCUCCGAGGGCACUUUCCCCAGGCCGAGCUCGCCUCCAGGACUCCGCAAGGCAGGGCGAGAGGAACCCUGGUUGAACUUCCGCUCGGAGGCUGUAAGAGAGUGUGGUCCCGGGGUACCCCCAACUCAACAGUCCUGGUCUAGAGGGGGAAGAGGAGCAACUUCGAACUCCUCUACUGUCAGAAGAACUGCGCACUCUGUAGCACAGCCCGCCUCUCGUAACUACCCGGACCCG
rnacentral:lncRNA from 1 species